UCUGCUAAAACUGUCUAAUGGUCAGUCAAGCAUUAGACGAGGAUUGCUAAAACGGGCCAUCACAUGUGUUGCGCGGCUCUUUGGUGUUCUAACACCGGGAGUUUCAGUUCCGCGAAGUUUUUCAAGUUUCCCGAUGACAGCUGGGAACACCCACGCAGCCGCACUGGGCGCCAGCCUUGAUUCAUCCUGUAGCCUGCCGCUGUGAAAACACGGACUACGCUGGACCCACCUGGUUCGGGAAGGCGCCACCGUCGGCUGCGCAGUGACCUGCUACUUUGGCUCCCACGUGACCAUUCACACUUACAAAAGAGGCACCUUCGUCGACUUUUGCGGCAUUUGGCAGUAGCGACGAGCGCGUCGGAAGCACCCUAAUCUCGUCUUGCCUUCGUCGCAGUGCUUUGCCGGCAAUGGCCCUGGGAAUUCGAGCGCCUACCUCGUGUCAACGCCGUGAUCAGCCAUGGUUGGUCGGUGGAUCCCGCAAGAGCCGCAGCAGAAGCCGCUGCGUUCCCAGACCCCGUGCGUGUGUGCU